rnacentral:tRNA from 1 species
GGUGGUAUAGCUCAGUGGUAGAGCACAUGCUUAGCAUGCACAAGGUCCUGGGUUCAAUCCCCCAGUACCUUCA